rnacentral:rRNA from 1 species
GAUGAACGCUGGCGGCGUGCCUAAUACAUGCAAGUAGAGCGAACAGGUGAGGAGCUUGCUCCUCUGACGUUAGCGGCGGACGGGUGAGUAACACGUGGAUAACCUGCCUAUAAGACUGGGAUAACUUCGGGAAACCGGAGCUAAUACCGGAUAAUAUAUUGAACCGCAUGGUUCAAUAGUGAAAGACGGAUUUGCUGUCCUUUAUGGAUGGAUCGCCGCCGCUUUAGCUGUGUGUUAAGGAAUCGGCCUACUAAGGCAAGGUUGAGUAGCCGACCUGAGAGGGCGAUCGCCCACACUGGAACGGGGACACGGUCCAGACUCCUACGGGAGGCAGCGGAGGGGAAUCUUGCGCAAUGGGCGAAAGCCUGACGGGGCAACGCCGCGUGAGGGAUGAAGGUCUUCGGAUCUUAAAACUCUGUUAUAAGGGAAGAACAAAGGGGUAAGUAACUAUGCACGUCGUGACGGUACCUAAUCAGAAAGCCACGGCUAACUACGUG